GGCUGCCCAGAUCCGGUGAUUCCCUGGUGGACGACGACUACUCCACGACCGCUCCCUGCCUCCUCCCCCUCCCACUCCGGCAUCCAGGUUGGAUGACUCCAUCUCCCGGUCACCCCAUCGCUGCGCUGCACAUCGUCGUCAGAGACCAAGGCGCCGCCGCCACGGCGUCCUCCUCCCCGGUGGCCGCGGGUGCCCCGCCCGCCAAGCUACCCCUUCUUAUCUUUCCGGAGGCGAUCUGGUAGUGCUCGAGCGCGCGGUGAUGCGGCCACGAUAUCCUCCUCCCCGGUGCUCCUAGAUCUAGCAAUAGCUCACCGGAGGCAAGCCGGGGUGCUCGAUCUGCUCGCCUCCUUCGCCUCGCAGGCUCAGCAAGCAGAAUCAAGGUUAGCUCCGUUUCUCCCAUUCCCCUCCCCAUCUCCCUCCUGUAGAUUUCUCUCCAAUGGCAGCUCGUAUGGGUUCGGUAGCCUUUUUCUUUCUUCCAGCUGAAGUCUCCUCUCAUUGUGCCUGGAACCUCUCUCUGAGACCAACAGGGGAGGUACGGAUUUGGAUGUAGCUCACUGGCCAGGAGAAUCUGCGGCGCCAGCAGACCAAUCUAAUUCGUAGGUGCUGAAUAUGCAUACAGUUAUGUAGUAUGUGCAAUUUACUUGCUCUGUUUUUUAUGGGGAUUUUGGAAUUGUUCAUACAUGCAUGAUCCAUAUCCGUUCUGUGAUUUCCGUUGUCUAUUUCCUGAUGACCCAAGUGUGUUUUAUUUUCAUCUUUCUUUGUCAUGAUAUAGUUGAAGGUCAACCGCUAGCCCAUUUGUGCAAUUCACUAAUUUAGUUGUGGCUGCUUGCUCAAAGUCUAUUUUAUAGAUGGCCAGCAUAUUAUCGUGGGAAAAUGUUUAACUGCUUUGGCUGGAACGAAACCACAGCUGAUUAUUUUGAAAAUGCAUCAUACCACGCUGAUUUAUUAUAAUAUCGUGCGUCAUCAGGUUUUGGCAUAUACUUUCGAGUUAUAUAUCGCCAUGCCAAGUUGCCAACUAACUAAUACAUGGUUAUGUUUGAAGAACAAUGUUGAGUAGUGCAAGGUUACACCAGCACAGUUUAAACACAUCUUUCUUUUUGUUGAUAGUUUUUUAGAUAGCUGACUGCUUAUGCCCAAUGGUAGUUUAAUCGGGCAUCUUAAAUUUUCUAAGAAUCACACCGCUGCGGCGCAGCACACUUAGGUUGUUGGCUGCUAGUUAGGAACAAAAGGUGCAUAAAGGUCCAAAAGCAAGAAAUGAUUUGAGUCGUAGUGCAUAGAGGUGCUUAAUUUCCAUCUCUUGAAUUAGGCCAUUCCAAAAAAUAUCUACUCACUGAUUCUCCAUUGUGAGGCCAUAAAUAUACCUGUAAAAUUUGGAUGUACACUUGAACAAGUUCAAUAAAUCACGGAAGAGCGAGAAUAUACACUUGUCUCCAUUAUUCUUUUCUAAGAUCAUUGCCUGAGAUAUUAUUUAGUAUGACUUUGAGAUUGUAGUGGUUUAGUAAGUAUAACAUUUUUAUUUUCAGUUUGCAUUCAUUCUAACGUUUCGCUUGAAAGAAACAAUACUCUCGUUGGGUGUGCCUUCUAAUUUGCAACCUUGUAAUUGGAGAUGAACUCUCAGUUUGUUAUGUUUCAUGACACUAAGCUUUGGGUACGAUGGUUAGAUGAGAGCUCAUUGACCAGUACUAAGCUCUGCCCCUGCCAUUCUACUGCUACAUCUUGAUGUGAAGUGGAAGAAAUUAGCACGACGCCGCCUUUAGGAGGGCCCAUGUUACCAAAAAAAACGGAAACUAUGUACCAACACUAUCAGGUCAAGAAUAUCUUGAUGUAUGAAACAUUCUAUUAACCCCUUGUUUGAUGAUGUUUGCUCAAAAUUUGUUUACAGCUGUGGAGUUGGUCAACAGCGUUCAAAAUAAAGAUUUCAGCGAUGCUACCUCAUUUGCAGAGAUUAAUUCUCCAAUGCUUCUCAUUGAUGAUUUCAGUACUCCGAAAAAGAAACAAUCAUUCUCUAAAGAGCACAUGAAGAUUCAUGAGCAAGAAGCACUAUCAAUGGAUGCAAGCUUUGGUAGCGAUGCUUAUUCAGCGGGGAUCACUUCACUCCUUCAUACUCGGGGUUCGAUGUUCAUGUCGUAGAAAAUGAUAUGUCAUGUUAUGUACCAAGUGAUAUAUGUAUGUGUCUUGUGUACUCAAAUUAGGAUGGAUGGCGUGGAACCAAAAAAGUUUCUGCCUAGGAUGAUCCUCUUGGACAUGUAUUCAAAAAUUCGUGUUGGACAUACACUGCUAUAUUUGUGUCUGGGUCCAUCUUUGAAUUUACUACUAGGAACAGAAUGGUUGUGACGAUUUGAAGUAGAAAAUGAUCAUGCCAUGAUAUGUACCAAGUUUGUGUAUG